rfam:Triticum aestivum genome assembly, contig: Triticum_aestivum_CS42_TGACv1_scaffold_178072_2DS
GACCUACUCCUUCCGUUCGGAAUUACUUGUCUCGGAAAUGGAUGUAUCUAGAACUAAAAUACGUCUAGAUACAUCCAUUUCUGCGACAAGUAAUUCCGAACGGAGGGAGUAGUAG